rnacentral:rRNA from 1 species
AUUGAACGCUGGCGGCAGGCUUAACACAUGCAAGUCGAGCGAGCGGCGGACGGGUGUGUAAUGUCUGGGAAACUGCCUGAUGGAGGGGGAUAACUACUAGAAACGGUAGCUAAUACCGCAUACUAUCAUAUGUGCACAUAUGGUAUUAGCUCGUAGGUGGGAUAAUGGCUCCCCUGGGCGACGAUCCCUAGCUGGUCUGAGAGGAUGACCAGCCACACUGGAACUGAGACACGGUCCAGACUCCUACGGGAGGCAGCAGUGGGGAAUAUUGCACAAUGGGAGCAAGCCUGAUGCAGCCAUGCCGCGUGUGUGAAGAAGGCCUUCGGGUUGUAAAGCACUUUCAGCGAGGAGGCGUUACUCGCAGAAGAAGCACCGGCUAACUCCGUGCCAGCAGCCGCGGUAAUUC